rnacentral:ncRNA from 1 species
GGCCUCACCCCACGGUGAAAAACAAACGACAGGCGGGCAGUGCCGGUAGACGGGUUUAUCCCGGCCGACAGCAACGAAGCCGGAAGAAUUGCAGACCA